rnacentral:tRNA from 1 species
GGUAAAAUGGUCUAAUUCAGGAUGUGGGGUUCAUGCCCCCAAGGUGCCACAAAAGAGUGGCUUUUAUCU